rnacentral:rRNA from 1 species
UGCCGCGUGUGUGAAGAAGGCCUUCGGGUUGUAAAGCACUUUCGGCCGGAACGAAAUCGCGCGGGCUAACACCCCGCGUGGAUGACGGUACCGGAAGAAGAAGCACCGGCUAACUACGUGCCAGCAGCCGCGGUAAUACGUAGGGUGCGAGCGUUAAUCGGAAUUACUGGGCGUAAAGUGUGCGCAGGUGGCCGUGCAAGUCGAGUGUGAAAGCCCCGGGCUUAACUUGGGAAUUGCGCUCGAAACUACGUGGCUAGAGUGUGGCAGAGGAAGGUGGAAUUCCACGUGUAGCGGUGAAAUGCGUAGAGAUGUGGAGGAACACCGAUGGCGAAGGCAGCCUUCUGGGCCAACACUGACGCUCAUGCACGAAAGCGUGGGGAGCAAACAGGAUUAGAUACCCUGGUAGUCCACGCCCUAAACGAUGAUGACUAGUUGUUGGGGGAGUUAAAUCCCUUAGUAACGCAGCUAACGCGUGAAGUCAUCCGCCUGGGGAGUACGGUCGCAAGAUUA